UCCGUAGGGUGCAAGCGUUGUCCGGAAUUAUUGGGCGUAAAGAGCUCGUAGGCGGUUUGUUGCGUCGGCUGUGAAAUCCCGAGGCUCAACCUCGGGUCUGCAGUCGAUACGAGCAAACUAGAGUGUUGCAGGGGAGACUGGAGUUCCUGGUGUAGCGGUGAAAUGCGCAGAUAUCAGGAGGAACACCGGUGGCGAAGGCGGGUCUCUGGGCAACAACUGACGCUGAGGAGCGAAAGCGUGGGGAGCGAACAGG
rnacentral:rRNA from 1 species